UUUCCGUAGGUGAACCUGCGGAAGGAUCAUUAUCAAUUAACGGUGGUGUGAGGGUUGACGCUGCAUCGCCAGCUCGUGUGCGACCGUGUGCGCUCUUAUUCACACAUCUCCCUCCUCAGUGCGUUUCUGCUACGGCCGCCGUAGGCCUUGUUGGGAGGGGGGCUUACGUUUUACCCUAAAUUUUGUACGAAUUGUUGUGAGAAUCUAUUGCUAUUGAGAUCUCGAAAUCAAUACAACUUUCAACAACGGAUCUCUUGGCUCUC
rnacentral:misc_RNA from 1 species